GCUUAGGAGAUAAAUCGACAUAUAUUGAAUGAGCUUCAUAUCCCUAAUCAGCGAGAGUAGAUAUUAGGGUAUUAAGUGAACUAAUCGGACCAGAUCUCAAAGCUUGCUAUCGCGUCUUGUUCCAAUUGAGAGCUUAGGACUCAAGACCGAUCAGCAAAGGGAGCAAGUCCACGAUAGUGGAUUGUUCUAGCCGAGUGAUCCGAGUUCUAGACUGCACCUCAUUGCACUUGAAUAGUUGUUCGGUUCGCAUUGACAC
rnacentral:lncRNA from 1 species